UCCUGAUCCCGUGAUCCGCCCACCUUGACCUCCCAAAGUGCUGGGAUUACGGGCAUGAGCCACCACACCCAGCGCAUCUGAACUCUUGGAAUGACCACAGGGUGGAACUCGGCAAAACCAAGGCAGCCAGGGGUCUACUCUGAGCCUCUGCAGUCUCCACAGUGCUGGGUGCAGGGCAAGCUCCUUCCAGAAUGCUAGAAUCAGCAAUGAUGAACACAUGCUAUAUGCUGGGCAGGAUGUCAGCAUGGAUGUUCCUCAUCCCCAGGUGCCAACAGCAUCUCCUUGACAAGCGCCCACGUCCCUGCUUCCUCUGGAGGACAAGCUCAGGCAUCAAGAUGGGAGCAUCUCCGAGGCUCCAUGGAGACACCUGACCGUGGACAGCCAGGCGCCUGGAGAAGGUGCUCAACAUGGAGCAUCAGCCUACACAGAGGAUUCUUUCUCUGCAGGGUUUGUUCUGUGGCUAAAGGAGGGUAUAGAAAAUUAACAAUACACAGGUGGCACAGGGGAAGAUUGAGCCUUAAGCCAAUGAAAAUUCAAGAUAUGGGAGCAAAUGGGCUUACAGGAGCAUAUUUUGAAGGUAAUUAAUAAGUAUAGGGAGUACUUUGAGGGCAUAGGAAACUGAGUAAAGAUGAAAAUGUGGGCUGGGCAUGGUGGCUCACGCCUGUAAUCCCAGCACUUUCGGAGGCUGAAGUGGGAGGAUUGCGUGAGGCCAGAAUUGUAAGACCAGCCUGGGCAACACAGCAAGAUCCCUGUCUCUAGAAAAAAAAUUAUUUAAAAAUUAGUUGGGUGUAUUGCCAUGCACCUGUAGUCUCAGCUACUUGGGAGGCUGAGUUGGGAGGAUCAUUUGAGCCUAGGAGUUUGGAGGCUGCAGUGAGUUAUGAUUGCGCCACUGCACUCCAGCCUGGGCCACGGAGUGAGAUCUGUUUCAAAAAAACAACAAAAGGAAACUGUGGUUCCCCUUUUUAAAUCAGGCUUAAGUCAGUUCGUAGUGGAAAGAGGCCCAGUGUCUUCUAGGCAGUGACUUAGACACUGACACACCUAGCAAACUCGAUCAAUAGAAGGCUCAGGGCAGCCAACUCUGGCAGCGUGUCCCACUCUGUUCCCAAGAGAAAACGGCCUUAUCUGGGCCAAGGGGUCGUGCUAUCGUCAGACCAGCUGUCCAGAGCCUCAGUCUCGCUUUGCUCCAAUUCCCCAUCGGCUCUUCCCUAGUAUUUCAAUCCUGGGAGAGACGGGAUAAUUUUCACGCCUUGGAUAGGGCAUGAAAGCACCAGCCAUUGGAAAAAGGGCUCUCUAUGGCAAUUCACAACUGCUGACGAAUGCACCAACCCGGUGGGGCUGAACUCCUGUGAGCUGCCCCCGGGAGUCUGAGUAUCUCUAGAUGGAAAGAAAGGGAUGCCAGCACUGGGAGGACCAAGGGUACAGCCUUGACCAGAACCUGCACUGAGGAUGGCCAGGCUAGGAGGUCUUUGGGGCACCUGGUGGCCUUUUUCACUGCUGCGACCUUGCUCUCUGUUUCUUCAAACUCCUACAGCUACAAUUAGACCCUCUCCCCCAAGAUGUCCCAGCCACAAUUCUAUCUGGUUGAGUGGCAACACACACACACUCAUGCACACACACACUCCACAAUUUAUCUCCAAGAAUUAUGAAGUUUUCAUAUAAACCACAGAAUAUAUUUAAUUCAAAUUAAACAUGAAACUAGAAUAAUGUUCGGUCUUUAUCAAGUAGCAAUUACAUUGUUUAAAAAAAAAAAAAAAGAACAGUACAUUUCUGUCUACAUUCCGACAAUCCAACGAGGCGGCAUGGGUCACAUCCAGUUUGAUGAGGUGACAGAGCCAGCAGUCACCAUCCAUGGGCAUGGUUCUGAGGGGACUGGGGAGACACAGACCAUACAUGAUACAAAAUGAUUCUGCAGCAAGUCUGAAGGAGAGCAGCCUCCCUCCUAAUACAUAAGAAUGAACGUCCGGGUAGCAGAGAGUAGGCGACUUGCAUAAUGAGCGCAUUUUAUUAAAUAGAUAGUUAACGCACUGCUUCUUACUCAUUCCAAGUUGCUGUAGGUGCUGCCCGCAUUAACAGCAGGGACAAAAGCUUCCUAUGCGCGUUUCAGCAGGAAUACUCUCUCCACUCCAGGUACUUCUUUGUUUUGGAUUUUUUUGGCAUGAUUUCCUUCCCAUGUAAAGAAAGCCAACUUCUUCAAGACACAGGUCAUUCAGCUUCAGUGGUGGCCUCCAGGUUCUCCUUGGGCCGUGCAGAAGGCCAGGUCCCGCACAGUGAGGCCCUCCUUUGUCCUCCACUGAAAGCUUUUCACUGUUCGGUCUGCAAAGAAAGAGGUUCGCCUGCCCCUGCUCCACUCGCCAGGGUGGAAGUGGUGAAGGGCUGGGAAAGGGCUUUCUUCACAGGGCAGUGCUCUCGGUAUCAUUGUCUAUAUCCAGCAGGAUGCGGCCAGGCACGUCUUUGCUGGCUGAGUCUGAGUGCAUUUCAGGAAAGAUGCUGCGAUGCUGUUCUGAAACCCUGGAAUUGGAGUCUGGACAAAAACACGAGGAGACAUGGUAUCAAUGAGGGGUAACCCCCGAGAGGCCACCUGAGGGUGCUCUGAGAAGAAGAGAGGCUGGGAAGUUUCAGGGUCAGCCCAUGCACACAGGGUCCCUUGCGAGAGGCCUCAUCAGCUCUUAGAAGCCAAGUGAAGCCUUUGUGACCCCAGAGGGCAGCUGAGUAGCACAGCCUUGCCUCUGGGCUCCGAUGUUGCUUGCUAUGAGCCCGGAGCAGCCCUUGGAGAUGCAGCUUUUAAAGGAUUUGCUUGCUUUGAUGGAGGAAAGGAAGGCUCAUUCUUCCCAAGGCCUCUAAUGCAUGAGAUGAACCCUCCUGAUGGCCCCUGGGCUGCCCUGGGAAGAGGUCUCUCCUCCAGACUGCUGGGUUUUCCUCCUGUUACUAACACUAGGACCUCACCCUCAGCACCAGCAACAUUUGGGCCUGAAUUAUUUGUUGUGGUUGUCCUGUGCAUUGUAGGUGUCACCCAACAGAUGCCAGUGACAUGCAGCCUCCUCCCCCAGUGUGACAACCGAAAGUGUCUCCUGUACAUCACAGAUCACUGGGGAAGUUUAAACUAAAAUGUCUCCAGAUGCUGCCGAGUGUCCCCUGGGGAAUCACAAUCACUGCUGACUGACAUCACUGAGGCAGACCAAGUCUCCUGCAAACACUAACAUCCCCUUGUCUGUCUAAUACACCUCGAAUGCCAUUUUCAUGUCUUAUUAUGUUGGCUGAAAUUCCUUCAGCAAUAUGGCAAACAUAUGGUCCUCAUGCUGUUGUCCCCCUCUCCUAUGCUCUUCCCAGAGGCCAGUGGGUCUCAGAUUCAUUUAUGCAUGAACAAAUAUUUACUGAGCACCUCCCAGGUGCCAGGCACCAUUCUACCUGCUGAGGACGCAGCACUGAACAAGAUAGGCACAGCCUCAAUGAAGCCCACGGUCAAGUGGGCAGACCAAGGGGAUCCUAAUUAAGACAAAAGGGCUGGCUUCUCUAGUAGAUGUGGGUUCUGGCAAAUUAUGAGAGCUUCAUUAGGUAUUUUAGGGCUGGUGUAAGAGAGAAGAGAGAUGUUUUGUAGUUUUGCUUUGCUGGGUUAGAGGUAGCCAUGGCAGGCAGCAGUGAGGGAGUGGGAGGAGGAGGUGGUUUGUGGGGGCGUUUCACAGUUAGGCUUGAGAGCUGCUUUCCCCUACUUGCUGUGGUGCAAAAUGACAUCCUGUCUGUCCUUGACGGGAGCUAGUUUUGACUAUAUUUCUGUUCGACCUGCCCCUGUCUACGCAGGCACAGCUUGAAAACGCUGGUGCACUUUGGGGAAGCUCACUGCUUGGAGACUUGUUCCAGCUCCCACCCCUUCCACCUUCCUGUCCCUACAGUUCUGAGCUGUGAGAUCUAUUUACUCCCUGGGACACCCUUUUUCUCACAGUUACUCCUGGGUUGUCCCUCAAGGUUUCCUAUGCACCACAACUCAGAGAAAUUUCUAGAUUUAUGGAGGUGCCAAGGUGUCAAAGAGUUCAGGUGCUGAAUGUCAUUUCAGACAAUUCAGGUCUUGUGAUAACUAUAAAACCAAUGACACUGUGCAGAACUGCACCAGCCUAUGGUGCAGCCAAAGGUGGUCUGUAUGCACAGAAUAGGGGCUGUCUUGGAUUUGUCCUAAGCAGAACAGAAGUCAACGAAGGCAGGGACUGUGUCUGUCUUGUUCACAGUGUAUCCUCAGUACCUAAAACAGUGACCGGCAAAUAGCAGAUGUUCAAGAAAUUUUGUAGCUGCACACUUGGAUGGUUGGAUGGAUGCAUGAAGAGUCAUCUAGAGCAACCAUCUUUCCAAUCCUCCAUUCUUACAUCCUCAGGCAAAGAAGUAGCUGUGACUUGAAGACGACGUAUAAGAAAAUCACUGCAAAUGCAAUCCUUUCCCCAUUAUCUUGGCCCCCAAAAACAGAAGGGGCUACCAGCCCGUGUCUCUUCUCAGCCCAGAGUUUACCAGAAACUAUGGAACCAACGUGACUUGGCGGGGAACGCAUGAUGCAAAGGCACUGUGUAUACGGAUGAGAUUUCUACUUGUUAAUAUCUGUAUUCACAUGCAAGCUAACGCCUAUCAGCCACCAAGCCCCUCCACAGCUGCUCUCUUUUUCUUAUACAUCACAUAUACAUAAUUUUUAGAUUUGUGCCUCUCUGAAUUUUUCUAUUUAUGAUCCACACACAUUAUUUAUUCAAGGGGAAAAAAUGUGUUUUGGGGCGUAAAGGAAAUCCCUUACUCUGCCGCCCACCUGCCCCAUCUGGUUUCCCCAGCCCCUCUCUAUUCCUACAUGAAUCAGUCCCUGAAACAAACAAUGACUUUGUUUACACACAAAAAGUAGAAAGAAUUACGGCAACCUAUACAGAACUAGUUUUCAGAAAGAGACUUCAUCACAGUAGCUAACAUUAAAAAAAAAUUUUUUUUUUGAGAUGGGGUCUUGCUCUUUUGCCCAGGCUGCAGUGCAGUCGUGCAAUCUCAGCUCACUGCAGCCUCCACCUCCUGGGCUCAACUGAUCCUCCCACCUCAGCCUCCCAAGUAGCUAGGACUACAAGCAUACGCCACCAUGCCUGGCUAAUUUUUUUUAUUUUUGGUAGAGACAAGGUUUCACCAUGUUGACUGGGCUGGUCUUGAACUCCUGGCCUCAAGCAAUCCUCCCACCUCGGCUCCCCAAAGUGCUGGGAUUACCAGCAUGAGCCACCACACCCAGCCUCAGUAGCUGACAUUACUAUAGAGCACUUACUUACACCAGAGACUGUACUAUACACCCACACUUUAUUACAUCGUCUCACUGAACCCCCACUAACUAAUCCUAAGGCAGCAGAAAUAAGAAAGGGAGACUCAGAGGCUCUAUUCCUUGCCCAAGGUGACACAGCCAGUAUGGACCAAAGAGGAUCAAAGCCAGAUUGGUUGCACUCUGGCUCUUCGCAUUACAUUUUCCCUCCUCCCCAGAGGAGUCUGUAAAUCCCUGGGUGAGGGCCCUCAAAGACAUUAUCCGAGAUCAUUGUUUCAGUCUUACAAACACUCUGGUUUGUUGUAAAAAGGAGAAAAUGGUUAUUUCAGAAAGACACCUGUAAGAACCUGGUUUGUCUGAAACACCUCUAAAUCUUUCUGGCUAUGAACUCGUAUAUUAACUGCACUCCAAGAAGGGCUGGUUUCUGAGCAUAUGCUUGGAGCUAAGUUCAUACAAAAGAUAUUGUAUUUAAAAAAACAAAAUAGGCUGGGCGUGGUGGGAUGAUGGUGUGAGCCCAGAAGUUCC
rnacentral:lncRNA from 1 species